UCCGUACUAUGUCACACCGUUCGAUCAACACUCACGUGACUGAAUGACUUAUAGUUGAUUUAUAUGAUGUAUGUGAGCAGUAACAGUUUGGCAGGAUGUUGAUGAUGAUGUUGAGAUGAUCUUGAGGAUGAUCAUUCGGUUUGUGAUGUAGUCACGAGGUGACCAUGUGGAUAUGUUGAUCACGAGGUGAUCAUGUGGUUGUUUUGAUCACGAGGUGAUCAUAUGGACCACGAGGUGGUCGAGAUGGUAUAUUGCUUGGCCGGUUAGCCAAGAAUGAGAUUGUUGUUGGGAAUGAGAUGUUGGUUUAUCAGUAUUGUAGUAGUUUCAUAUCAUGCUUAGUAGUUGUUGUCGUAUCAUGGUAGAUGUUAAUUUAAUU
rnacentral:lncRNA from 1 species